AUGUGUCUUCCAAAAGAUAAAGGAGGUAUGUGGUUUCGGGACCUCCAUGCUUUUAAUUUAGCCAUGCUAGCGAAACAAAGUUGGCGAAUGAUAACGCAUCCGGACACUCUUUGUGCUACUGUCUUAAUAGCAAAAUACUUUCCUGAUGAAAAAUUUUUAAAGGCAGGGCCAAAAAAGGGAUCAUCUUUUACAUGGCAGAGUAUCAUCGCUGGUCUGCAAACGUUCAGGAGAGGCCGCAUUUGGAGAGUUGGUUCCGGUGAGAAAAUAAAUAUCUGGGAGGACCAUUGGGUACCUUCGAGUCCAACAAGGAUGAUCCACACAAGAAAAGGGAACGUGUUACUAAGAACGGUGAAUGAGUUGAUUGAUCCUAAUACAGGAGCCUGGGAUGUGGAAUUUAUCAGGAUUAUUUUCCUUCUAAUUGAUGCAAAAAGAAUUUUGAGAAUUCCUUUAUCAGUGCAUCUAAACGAGGAUUUUCUAGCAUGGCAUGAGACCAAAUCACACUCAUUUUCUGUUCGGUCAGCCUACUACUCAGAAUGGGAACAUCAGUUUGGUUCAAAAAUUAUUAGUAGUGAAGGGACCUCAAAUGUUAAUCCUGUUUGAUCGGCUGUGUGGAAGUUGGAAGUCCCUAGUAAGAUAAAAAUCUUCAUCUGGCGAGCUCUUAAAGGUGUUGUUCCUGGUAUGGCAGUUCUCGCUUCUACUCAUAUUAAAGUCUCAGCAGAAUGCCCUAUUUGUCGUUCCGGGCCUGAAGAUAUUCGCCAUUUGCUGUUUACAUGUACACGUGCUCGGCAAGUUUGGAAGGCACUUGGCCUUAAUACAGUUAUU
rnacentral:rRNA from 1 species